GACGAACGCUGGCGGCGUGCUUAACACAUGCAAGUCGAACGGAAAGGCCCUGCUUUUGUGGGGUGCUCGAGUGGCGAACGGGUGAGUAACACGUGAGUAACCUGCCCUUGACUUUGGGAUAACUUCAGGAAACUGGGGCUAAUACCGGAUAGGAGCUCCUGCUGCAUGGUGGGGGUUGGAAAGUUUCGGCGGUUGGGGAUGGACUCGCGGCUUAUCAGCUUGUUGGUGGGGUAGUGGCUUACCAAGGCUUUGACGGGUAGCCGGCCUGAGCGGGUGACCGGCCACAUUGGGACUGAGAUACGGCCCAGCCUCCUACGGGAGGCAGCAGUGGGGAAUAUUGCACAAUGGGCGGAAGCCUGAUGCAGCAACGCCGCGUGCGGGAUGACGGCCUUCGGGUUGUAAACCGCUUUCGCCUGUGACGAAGCGUGAGUGACGGUAAUGGGUAAAGAAGCACCGGCUAACUACG
rnacentral:rRNA from 1 species